rnacentral:lncRNA from 1 species
GGACAGAGGAAUGGCCACUAGCCUGUAUUCACGGAACUCAACUCAGCUCCUAACCUGUGGCUGAGUUGAAUUUUAAAGGCAGACAGAAAACAGAGUACUUGAAACUGGAAAUGGUCUGGUCAAUUUUGAUAUCUAAUAUCAGUAGUGCAGAGGAUGAAUAGGACAUAAAAGUGGUCACGGAGAUAAUUUUAAAGUUACUGCAAUGAUCUAGGUAAGAUAUUUUAUCAGAGUGUGCCUCCUUAUAUGUUAACAAAUAUUUGCCAAGUAUUUUCUGUUUUU